rnacentral:rRNA from 1 species
UACGUAGGUGGCAAGCGUUGUCCGGAUUUAUUGGGUUUAAAGGGUGCGUAGGCGGUCUUUUAAGUCAGUGCUGAAAUACUCUAGCUUAACUAGAGGGGUGGCAUUGAUACUGAAAGGCUUGAGUGAAGUCGAAGUAGGCGGAAUUGACGGUGUAGCGGUGAAAUGCUUAGAUAUCGUCAAGAACACCGAUAGUGAAGACAGCUUACUAGACUUCAACUGACGCUGAGGCACGAAAGUGUGGGGAUCAAACAGG